GAUGAACGCUGGCGGCGUGCCUAAUACAUGCAAGUCGAGCGAACAGACGAGGAGCUUGCUCCUCUGACGUUAGCGGCGGACGGGUGAGUAACACGUGGAUAACCUACCUAUAAGACUGGGAUAACUUCGGGAAACCGGAGCUAAUACCGGAUAAUAUAUUUAACCGCAUGGUUCAAUAGUGAAAGACGGUUUUGCUGUCACUUAUAGAUGGAUCCGCGCCGCAUUAGCUAGUUGGUAAGGUAACGGCUUACCAAGGCAACGAUGCGUAGCCGACCUGAGAGGGUGAUCGGCCACACGGGAACUGAGACACGGACCAGACUACUACGGGAGGCAGCAGUAGGGAAUCUUCCGCAAUGGGCGAAAGCAUGACGGAGCAACGCCGCGUGAGAGAUGAAGGUCUUCGGAUCGUAAAACUCUGUUAUUAGGGAAGAAAAAAUGUGUAAGUAACUAUGCACGUAUUGACGGUAACUAAAAAGAAAGCAACGGCUAACUACGUG
rnacentral:rRNA from 1 species